GUACCCAACUGGCCCACAAAGUCCCGCUUCUGGGCUCACCUUUUGCUCUCGGGCGCUGCUGGAAGGCGGCCUCCUCUGCUCCUGCACAGGACAACCGGGGCACUGGGACCGGGAGGGGGGGGACCUUUACUGUUCUCCGUGGCCACCUGGAGAGGGACGUGGACCAGGAAUCCUUAAAGGGGCCGCUGGAGAAAACGUCCUCCAUUUGCUGGGCAGUGCAGGGAAGAGGCUGAAGGAAGUGGGGGAGGGGCAGCCCAGCCCCUCCCUGUCAUCCUGCUUCUAUGCAGACGGGGAGGGGGCUCAACUGCUCAGGUUAGGACCAAAGUGGAGACUGGCCUAGGGAAAUGGGCGAGGGGCUGGCAAGACCAGCAAACUGGCCUUUGCGAGUUGCAGCAGAAACAGGGACUGAGCCCCCUGGGGGGUGGGGAGAGUUCUGAAGGGGCAUCAGAAGGGGCACAACCUUCCGGGUGAGGCAUGUCUGCAUGUCAUGGGGGGCUGGAGAGCUCACGCGUGCAUCAUCUGCACAGGGCUGACCCUUCCCUUAGGUGGAAAGUCAGCUGGGGGGUGGGGGAGCAGGCCGGUGCCCCCAGUGCUCCUUCUGACAGUUGCUCUUUGCGCAGGGAAAAUGAGGACUUUUGGGGGCAGCUGUGUUUUUCCAUGCUACCAUAAUGCCCCUAAAAAUCCUUAUUGUUCUUGCCGUAUCUCAAAGCUGGGGCCAAGGAGUGUGUGGACGUUUUGGGGCAGCUGCUGAACCAGGGAAACUUCCUACCCAAGGACCAGAUAGACUUCAGACUUUGCCUUGGACAACUUCCUGACUCUUCCCCCCCUCCCCCAAUCCAUUGCUAAACGGGGCUGCCGAAAAGCAAAUAUUUCCAUCCUGUCAGAGGCGUGAAGGUUAAGGACGGGGCAUCAAGACUAAUUGCACCGUUUGUGGGCUCCCUGCACCCCUCAGGCUACACUGGCUAUCAGGGACUCUGCUAGAAUAAUCCCACAAUUAACACCAAUUCCUGUCUGUCCAACGCAGCUUAUCUAGGCUGAAAAGGAAACCUGUCGAGCGAUUCCUGGGAAUGGCAGCUCCAGAAGAGCCUCACAGCGGAAGGGACAGUCCCCAUGACCCCUGGUGGUACAGGGCAAAGAACUGACCCUGCCCAGGUUUCCCUCCUGUUGGACAUUGCUCUGGACAGUGACGCAGAGCAGUGCCCAGAGUUUUACGCUGGCUACUAGAAAAGAGAACCAUGCAGAAGCAGAAGAGGUGCAGGCUUAUGGAACGGAUUCCUGCACCCAGAGUCUCUGGAGGGCUCUCUGGCCUCAGUGCUCGCUUGCAGUCCUGGCUGCCUCACAACCUGUAAUCUUCCAUCUGCCAGAUGGUCUCUGGGACUGGUCAGAACCUGCUGAAACCCAUCUCUGCUGCCUACCUGAGAAGAGCCCAACAAGGUGGACGGUUGCUUUGAAGCACCUCAGCUCCGCUCACUUGCACAACACUCCGGAAAGGGUUGCGGCUCACCUUGGAUGACAAGCCCCACUUGCCCCCUCCCCCAGCCUUUCUCCAUUUGCUCUUGGCAAAGAAAACCUGGGUCAUGGCUGCCCUGCCAGGGUGUCCUUUGGGCAAAGAAGCUUCUGGGGACAAGGAAACCUUGAAGCAAAACUAGAAAAGGUGAGGCUUUGGCAAAAUAAACCAUCACAUCAAGAAUUUUUUUAAAGUGACGUUGCAGAACAAGGAAAAGGGAAGUGCCAGUGCCCCAAAAAGUGAAAGGCACCCUGCGGUCUGCCAAGGGCUGUGCCUGUGGCAGCAAUCGAUCCAAGUCUUGAGCCAAGAUGAACAGUAUUUGUUGGUCCGAGACAACCUUGCCACACAACCCUCCCUUCCAGGCUGGACCUUUCAGUUCCUGCUCUGGGCAGGAGUUCAGGUCCUCCUCCCUGGAAGAUCCUUCCACAGAAGGCAGCUGGAUGGAUGCCUAGACAGAAGCUGUGGGGGGCACUCCUGCCCGGUCAUGCCCGGGCAGCGCAUCUGACCUUCCCAAGGCUGCUGGAUGCCUCCCGCUCCAGAUACUCAGCUCUCCUGCUGUUGAUUUGGCAGGACUGAGAGCAGAGUUUGGCCUGCAAAGGAUUGAAGGGGACUGCAUUCCGUGGUCCCUUUUUUCCAUGCCUUUCCUCUCCUGGCAUUUGCCUACUCCCACCCGGCAGACCACCAGAAAGAGAAAAGUUAACAGCCUCCAUGGCCCCAGAAGACAAAUAGUGGAGAAAGGGAUAAAGAUAUACGGAACUUCUUUAAACAUUUCGACCAUUAGCUGAUGUUUAGUAAAAAUAACCAGCCGUGAACCCUACUUUUCAAAGUUUUAUGGUACUCACCAAUCUGAACUUGUUCAGGCUGACUCAAGGAUACAAAUGCUGAUGUAUCGUCAAUCCAACACACGUGAAUGUUUCCUAAAAUUGGAAGGGGAAUGUAAACUCUAUUCUGCUCCAAUCUAUCCAAGCAUAGUGAAGAUGACACCAUGUGGACAGGGGCAGCUCUCAUCCUGGAGGGAGAAGGCUGAUGUCUCUGAAGCAGGGAAGGCCAGAGGGAAGAGUGACACCUCCCUGCACAGGGAUGCGUCAAGGGAUGGGCGGAGGCUUUGCGGAGUUGUCCUGCCCAAAAGGGCCCCACAAACCCUACUCCCAUUUGCUCUCUAGCCACCAAUGCAAGGAUCCUUUGCUUUUAGCCUUCAAUUUUACCCAACCCCGUCCCCCCCAGAUGACUCUCUGCCAAAUUCAGCUGCUCUUUUGUAAGAAUUUGUCACUGGAACGGGUCUACUUACCGA